rnacentral:lncRNA from 1 species
UUCAUUGUAGUCUUAAUAAAAUAAAUUUAGUUCAUUAUUAAUGAAUUAAAAUCAAGAAUCCACAAUUGAAUAGACAUUAAAAGAUAAAAAUAAGAUUAGAGAAGAGAAUAAAUCUGUUGUCAGCAAAUCUCCAUCUUCCUCAAGCUCCUGCUCUUUUUCUUCAAUGGUCUCCAAGUUGCUUCAAUCUCCAAAACUAAUAAGAACUAGGGUUUAUGUUCUAAUUUAAUGGAGUGUAUCUCUAAUCUAAUCUAUGUAAUUUCUCUCUAUUUUAUGCCUUACAUCAUGUAUUUAUAGGUUACAAGUCCAAUUUUUAGCUUAGGAACAAACCCAAUCCAAUUUGGAGUCAGAAAAGUGUCAAAAUUCUUCCCAAAACGCGUCCAAGCCUCACCAAUCCCUUCCCCAGCGCCCUGGCGCUGGGCACAGCGCUGGAACACUGCAUUAUAAGCUUGAUUUGGGCGCCCCGGGGCUGGAACAUUUUCUGACAUUUUCUGCUCUGACAUCCUUUGGGAAAAUGGUCAUAACUUCUUCGUCCGAACUCCGAUUUUGAUGAUUAAAGAUGUUCUGGAAAGAGGAAACGUAGAUCUACAACUUUCAUUCUUUACGGUUUUCAAAAUAAGGUCCAGAGCAAUACUCAAAUUGGCUCUGAAGUGACUGUUGUGUAAAUGACAAGCCGAAAACGCGAAUCUAGCAACCCCAAACAUUGAUCCAAGUAACUUUUGUCCCAAUUCCUAUAAAACAACAUAAAACAUGCAUAAAUAGACACAAACACUUAAAAACUAUUCUAAAAGACUUGAGAACAACAAUAAAUUAAGCCCGAAUGUAUCCAAUUCAUGGGUAUAUUACCCAUUCAUCAAUACUCCAGAUCCGCUUCAGCCUGAGAAGAUCUCUCCUGAGCUUCCCUCAAUUCUGCCUCCACUUUCGAGCAGGCAGCCUCCCUGAGCGUGUCUCUCUCACAAGCCACCUGAAGCUCAGUCUCAAGCUUAGUUUCCCUCUCAUGGGCCUCAACAAGCUCCACCUCCCUGAGUGCAUCCCUCUCACGGGUCGCCAAAAGCUCAACCACGAGCUCAACUGUCCUCUCACGGAUAGCAGAGAGAUCUGUUUCAGCUUUCGAGCAAGCUGUCUCACUAAGUGCGAC